rnacentral:lncRNA from 1 species
ACACCUUUCUAGUCUCAGGAUGGAAUUUGGAGCCAUGAUUACUUGGAUCACCACCGCGUGAUGAUUGCGCGUUCCCAGAAGAAAGGAAGAUGACGAGAGAACGUUAAGUCCUUUACACAGAUUGUUUCUCUGUCUUCAUCCAUUUCGCAAACCCUUUCCUCUGUAUCUCAGAAGGAAGGACCUCCAGGGCCUACAUGUCUGCAGCCCGCACAGCCUCCUUUGAAUGCAUGUCUCUCCGUCUAACUGGAGCUUCUGAAUAUCUCUCAAGGUUCUGGGCUGGAGAGAUGGCUCAACAGUUAAGAGAACUGGGUGUUCUUCCAAAGAUCCUGAGUUCAAUUCCCAGCAACCACAUGUGCUUGGUGCUGUUACAGUGAAGAUAUUGCCAGGAAUUGAAUAAUUCCACUUCAAAAAGACGGAGUUGUCCUGUGUCUCGACAUCAAACCACACAUAGAAAAUGCAGGAUGGCUCCGCUCUCUGAGAAAGAUUAAUGCAGCUCUCAACCUUCAUCAGAGAACCUUCCUUUGCAUCAGACGACAGACAAUAUAUGUACUCCCAAAUGGCCAAAAUGAAGAAAAUACAUAAUGGUGGAGUGCUGGGUCCUAAAUGUAACAUCUAUAUUAGCUCUCUUCACUCCAAGACUUAGAGAACAUCACAGAGGAGGUGCCAACAUGAUUUGAAGAGACAGAGACAGUGGAGGACUUCUGUGACAUGAAGGGGAUCUUACAUUUUGAGCUUCUGGGAGUUAUUAUUGCCUACAUAAGACUUCUUCAAAAGUCUGCUGUGGAUGGGGAGAAGCUCCUGAGCUGGGUACCUCUGGGUCCUACUGGCAGUUCAUGAAUGCUGGGGCAAUUGGAAUCAUUUCUCUGGGAGUAUGGUCAUUGAUAGGGUUUUCAUAAUGUCACGGAUUGUCCUAUGUCUGUGUGCAGGGAUCUACCUUCAUCAUUCUGCAUUAAAUAUUUAAUUUUCCAUGUAAAUGCCUCUCUGGUUUUUGUGCCCUCCAUAAUUCUUUCACUACAGUCUUACAGUUUUAUUGUAGAGGUUUUUCAUUGCCUCGGUUAGAGUUGUUUCUAUCUAUUUUACUGUGAUUAAUGUUAUCACUGCUGCUGUAGAGUGUUUGUCCUUCCCCUCCCCAGAAGUGGGGACAGAACCUAUGGCUCUGAGCAUGCUAUCAUGUGCUGGCCCACCGGGUUUCACUCCACCCUCCUAUUUAUUAUUUGAUCAGGGGCAAUUGUGAAUUUAAAAAAAUGUUAGUGUGUUAGUGGUAUGUAUAUAAAAUGUUCCUUUUUACUUGUUGAUUAUGUUUCCUAUAGCUACUGAAUUUUUCCUGUUUCAAUACAUUUUAGUCAGUUUUUCUGUAUAUAAAAUCUUCCUGCAGAAGAGGAUAAUCUGACAACCCCUUUUCUAAUUGAAAUUUUAUUAAUUAUUAUUAUUAUUAUUUUAUUCCUUUCUUCUGCUGAUUUCUCUUAUAAAAUUUCCUUUUACUGUUCCGAAUAAAAGCUGCAAAUGUGGACAACUUCAUUUCUUCAGAUCUCAGAGGAUACAACCUCACCUUCUUCCAUUUCGCACACAGAAACAGUGGCUUUAUAAUAUCUAGUCCUUUACGUUGUGAGGUAGACUCCUACACAUAAUUCCUUCUGGCUUUUUUUUUUCUUCACAAAAGAAUGUUUAACUUUAAUGAAUACUUUUUCUGCACCCACUAAUGAAAUUAUUUUGAUCCUCUCCUUUGCCGCUGUAAUAUUGUUUUUCAGUUUGUACGUGUGAAUCACCCUUGUAUCUCUGGAAUAAACUCUACUUAACAAGGUGCACUAUCUUCUUUAUGUGCCCAUUAGUCAGGUUUCCAUUGUUCUGACAAAACAUCUGUGAAGAACGAGCUAAAGGAGGAUUUAUUUUUUCCCACUGUUUCAGAUCAUUGUUGGUCCAUUGCUUUUUGGCCUGAAAAAUAGGAAUGUCAUGAUUAAAAGCCGUGAUGGCAAAUCAGAGCAGCUCACUCGCCUCACGGUAUCCAAGAAGCAGAGAGAGAGAGGAAAAGGGUGAGGAGACAAGAUGCACACUUGAAGGGCACACCCUAGUGACCUACUUCUAACUAGUCCCACUUCCCAAUAUUUCUGCCACCUCAUAAAAGCACUACCAAUUAAGGACACUUCUUUCACAUAUAAGUUUUUGGGAAACAUUUGAUAUCUAAGCAUUAAUGAUGGGCCUAUUGUUGAUAUCACCUUUAACCCUCAUGUUUCUUUGUUGAAUUUUAGUCUUGAUAGCCUGUCCACUUGUGAAAAUGAACACCAAUAUCUCAGUCUCUCUAACUCCUACUGUUUUUUAAUCUAUCUUUCCCUUUAGAUCUAAUAAUGCUUUCUUUACAUGGUGUGUGUGUGUGUGUGUGUGUGUGUGUGUGUGUGUGUGUGUCUUUCUGUCUGUCUAUGUCAUGUGAAUCUUUCCUGGAAUAGUGCAAUGAUGCAAAUAAGUAUUUAUUCAUCCCAUAUAAGGCUUAGCAAUAGACCAAAGUGCAAUUCCACUAAAGACUAACUUGGAAAACCAGCGAGUUUAUGGGCUUAGGUACAGACCAUGAGUAACCUCAAGUGAGGCGCACCAAUAGUGAACCUCAGACAAUAGUGAACCAACAGUGAACCUCAGAAAGUGUGAAUAGUGAACCAAUAGUGAACCUCCGACAGUGUGAAUAGUGAACCAAUAGUGAACCUCAGACAGUGUGAAUGAUAACCUUUUCAUAGAAACACCCAUGAGUCCCCUUUCCUCUUAACUCUACACUCCGUAUACUCUCACACCAUCCAAGCAUACAGGACUACAAGCAGCUGGAACAGAUGCCAGUGGUGAGGGACGAAGUGGCUUAGACCACAGGUGAAUAUCUGCUUAGUCUUCUCCAUUCUUCCUUUUAAGACGAUAUCAACAGGUCCAAUCUUGAGAGUAUCUUAGUGGUGACCACAGCUGCUUCUGAUGAAGAUAGUAAUGGCUGCUAUGCUCAGAGGUCAACUUUCUACUACAGCUUAUAAUGGUUAUUUCUUUGUAGUCAGUUGCUCCCUCUAACUUUAUAUAGUGACCUCCUUUGUCUUGUGUCACUUGGUCCUACUUGACACACAAAGUUAAUAUAAAUUAUGAGAAACAUGAAGGCCUAUUCUAUUCUUGUGGUUAUAAUUAAACAGUUUUGAAAGGUUAACAACAAAGAAUGAAAACCAGACAGAUGUGAGGGCCCCAGACAGUGAUGAGUUAACAAUAUGGUCUCAAAAUCUAAAGUCAAAAUUUCCUGGACAUAAAGAAAAAGGGACAGAACUACCAUCUGAUUGGGGUGUUUUAAAAGUUAUCUUCCAAAAAUAUAGAUGAAAGCAUUCAAAAAAAUAAAUCUGGAAGGGAUUUGAACAGCACUAAGCAUAUAUAGAAUAGUAACCAUAAAAAAAUUCACAAGGAAGUGGCACAAAGUUCCACCCUGAGGAAGAAGAUAUUUGAUAUAUAUGCAUGCAUGCUGGGAGAGGCAAAACCAGUUUCCGUUAGUGACGAGACACUGGUUAUAGCAACCGUUCUCCCAAAAGAGACCUCCCAUGCUCAGGAAAAGUUGGGCCAACACAAUUUUGUUGUUGUUGUUUUUCUCAAAGAGAGAAAGAAUAUGGAGUUGAGUGAGUUGCAAGGAGAUCUUGAAGGUGUUGGAGGUGGGGAAAGAAUAUAAUCAAAAUAUAUUCUAUGGAAAUGUUAAAUAUAGUAAUGUUAAAAUGU